rnacentral:rRNA from 1 species
CAAUAGCGUAUAUUAAAGUUGUUGCAGUUAAAAAGCUCGUAGUUGGAUUUCUGAUCUGAGAAACUCCGUUCUCCUCUAAGAGGAGCGAUGGAUGUUUUUCGAUCAUCCUUCGUGGAGAACAUUUCGGCUCUUCAUUGAGUUCGGGAUGCGAUCCCGAUCAAUUACUUUGAAAAAAUUAGAGUGUUCAAAGCAGGCUUCCGCUAUGAAUACAUUAGCAUGGAAUAAUAAGAUAGGACUUUGGUUCUAUUUUGUUGGUUUCUAGGACUAAAGUAAUGAUUGAUAGGGAUAGUUGGGGGUGCUAGUAUUCAACGGCCAGAGGUGAAAUUCGGUGAUUCGUUGAAGACUAACUCAUGCGAAAGCAUUCACCAAGGAUGUCUUCUUUAA